rnacentral:rRNA from 1 species
GACGAACGCUGGCGGCGUGCUUAACACAUGCAAGUCGAACGGAGAUUUUUAUUUCGGUAAAAAUCUUAGUGGCAAACGGGUGAGUAACGCGUAGGCAACCUGCCUUUCCGAUGGGGACAACAGUUCGAAAGGACUGCUAAUACCGAAUGAUGUAUAUCUUCCGCAUGGAGGACAUACCAAAGACGGCCUCUAUUUAUAAGCUGUCACGGAAAGAUGGGCCUGCGUCUGAUUAGCCAGUUGGCGGGGUAAUGGCCCACCAAAGCAACGAUCAGUAGCCGGUCUGAGAGGAUGAACGGCCACAUUGGGACUGAGACACGGCCCAAACUCCUACGGGAGGCAGCAGUGGGGAAUCUUCCGCAAUGGACGAAAGUCUGACGGAGCAACGCCGCGUGAGUGAAGAAGGUUUUCGAAUCGUAAAGCUCUGUUGUCAGGGACGAGCAGGGGGAGUAUCAACAACACUUCCUCAUGACGGUACCUGACGAGGAAGCCACGGCUAACUACGUGCCAGCAGCCGCGGUAAUACGUAGGUGGCGAGCGUUGUCCGGAAUUAUUGGGCGUAAAGGGAGCGCAGGUGGGAAAGUAAGUCUGCUUUAAAAGUGCGGGGCUCAACCCCGUGAGGGAGUGGAAACUACUUUUCUUGAGUGCAGGAGAGGAAAGCGGAAUUCCUAGUGUAGCGGUGAAAUGCGUAGAUAUUAGGAGGAACACCAGUGGCGAAGGCGGCUUUCUGGACUGUAACUGACACUGAGGCUCGAAAGCCAGGGGAGCGAACGGGAUUAGAUACCCCGGUAGUCCUGGCCGUAAACGAUGGAUACUAGGUGUAGGAGGUAUCGACCCCUUCUGUGCCGGAGUUAACGCAAUAAGUAAUCCACCUGGGGAGUACGACCGCAAGGUUGAAACUCAAAGGAAUUGACGGGGGCCCGCACAAGCAGUGGAGUAUGUGGUUUAAUUCGAAGCAACGCGAAGAACCUUACCAGGUCUUGACAUCCUACUAACGAAGCAGAGAUGCAUUAGGUGCCCUUCGGGGAAAGUAGAGACAGGUGGUGCAUGGUUGUCGUCAGCUCGUGUCGUGAGAUGUUGGGUUAAGUCCCGCAACGAGCGCAACCCUUAUUGUUAGUUGCUACGCAAGAGCACUCUAGCAAGACUGCCGUUGACAAAACGGAGGAAGGUGGGGACGACGUCAAAUCAUCAUGCCCCUUAUGACCUGGGCUACACACGUACUACAAUGGCCGUUAACAAAGAGAAGCGAAACCGCGAGGUGGAGCAAACCUAUAAAAACGGUCUCAGUUCGGAUUGUAGGCUGAAACCCGCCUGCAUGAAGUUGGAAUUGCUAGUAAUCGCGGAUCAUAAUGCCGCGGUGAAUACGUUCCCGGGCCUUGUACACACCGCCCGUCACACCAUGGGAGCCGGUAAUACCCGAAGUCAGUUGCCUAACCGCAAGGAGGGCGCUGCCGAAGGUAGGAUUGGCGACUGGGGUG